UACGAAGGGGGCUAGCGUUGCUCGGAAUUACUGGGCGUAAAGCGCACGUAGGCGGAUUGUUAAGUCGGGGGUGAAAUCCUGGAGCUCAACUCCAGAACUGCCUUCGAUACUGGCGAUCUCGAGUUCGGGAGAGGUGAGUGGAACUGCGAGUGUAGAGGUGAAAUUCGUAGAUAUUCGCAAGAACACCAGUGGCGAAGGCGGCUCACUGGCCAGAUACUGACGCUGAGGUGCGAAAGCGUGGGGAGCAAACAGG
rnacentral:rRNA from 1 species